rnacentral:rRNA from 1 species
GGAGGGCAAGUCUGGUGCCAGCAGCCGCGGUAAUUCCAGCUCCAAUAGCGUAUAUUAAAGUUGUUGCAGUUAAAAAGCUCGUAGUUGAAUUUCGGGAUCAAUUUAUUGGUCGUGCCAACGGUACGCACUGGUACAAUUGGUUUCUCCCUUCUGACGAAGCAUGAUGCCAUUAAUUUGAUGUCGUGGGGAAUCAGGACUGUUACUUUGAAAAAAUUAGAGUGUUUAAAGCAGGCUUUGGCUUGAAUACAUUAGCAUGGAAUAAUGAAAUAGGACGUUUGAUCUUAUUUCGUUGGUUUCUAAGAUCGACGUAAUGAUUAAUAGGGAUAGUUGGGGGCAUUAGUAUUCAAUUGUCAGAGGUGAAAUUCUUGGAUUUAUUGAAGACUAACUACUGCGAAAGCAUUCGCCAAGGAUGUUUUCAUUAAUCAAGAACGAAAGUUAGGGGAUCGAAGACGAUCAUAUACCGUCGUAGUCUUAACCAUAAACUAUGCCGACUAGGGAUCGGAUGAUGUUAAUUUUUUAAUGACUCAUUCGGCGCCUUACGGGAAAC